CCUACGGGCGGCAGCAGUGGGGAAUAUUGCACAAUGGGGGAAACCCUGAUGCAGCGAAGCCGCGUGAGUGAAGAAGUAUUUAGGUAUGUAAAGCCCUGUCAGCAGGGAAGAAAAUGACGGUACCUGACCAAGAAGCCCCGGCUAACUACGUGCCAGCAGCCGCGGUAAUACGUAGGGGGCAAGCGUUAUCCGGAUUUACUGGGUGUAAAGGGAGCGUAGGCGGCAGGGCAAGUCUGGAGUGAAAGGCGGGGGCUCAACCCCAGGACUGCUGUGGAAACUGCCAGGCUGGAGUGCAGGAGAGGUAAGUGGAAUUCCUAGUGUAGCGGUGAAAUGCGUAGAUAUUAGGAGGAACACCAGUGGCGAAGGCGGCUUACGGGACUGUAACUGACGUUGAGGCUCGAAAGCGUGGGGAGCAAACAGGAUUAGAUACCCUGGUAGUC
rnacentral:rRNA from 1 species